rnacentral:hammerhead_ribozyme from 1 species
GCACUGCUGAGGAGUCCCAUAAUAGGACGAAACGGAUGUCCGGUGU